rnacentral:rRNA from 1 species
CGCCGGGCAUCAGCGUCAGCCUGCCCAGUGAAACAUUCAACGGCCGCGGAACCCUGACCGCGCGAAGGUAGCAUAAUCACUUGUUUCCUAAAUAGAGACUAGUAUCAACGGCAUCACGAGGGUUAAACUGUCUCCCUCCCCCAAUCAGUGAAACUGAUCUCCCCGUGAAGAAGCGGGGAUAAACCUAUAAGACGAGAAGACCCUAUGGAGCUUUAGGUCAGACGGGCAACCACCACUCAUCACAAAACCACAUAUCAAAUAGGACCUGCCCGUCCACCUUCGGUUGGGGCGACCACGGAGUAAAACAAAACCUCCACAACAAACAGGACUACACCUUAAUACAAGAGCCACCACUCUAAAAAUAGACAAAUCUAUGUAAAAUGACCCGAUAAUCGAUCAAUGAACCAAGUUACCCUAGGGAUAACAGCGCAAUCCAUUUCUAGAGCCCCUAUCAACAAAUGGGUUUACGACCUCGAUGUUGGAUCAGGGUACCCCCAGUGGUGCAGCCGCUACUAAAGGUUCGUUUGUUCAACGAUUAAAACCCUACGUGAUCUGGUUUUUCAAAAAAACAAGAA